UAUGGACAUGGGUGUUCGGCUUCAAUCGACUUAGCCCGGUAUUGACUCUAAGACCGUCAGGUAAAGACGACAGUUUGAUAUCUGCGCUUGAUGAACCGCAUCCUCUGUAGGUAUACCACCUGUUGCACGCCGAAACUUUUCAAAUUAAUGGCAAGUGCGCGGUGCGCGUCCAACGACCCGCAAACACCUGGUUCGAAAACGGUGUCCACCUACACCACCCUCGAGUUUAAAACGAAAUGGACACAUCAACAGGGUAAAAUAUGGUUAAAAGAAACUUUAUCGACCGAUAUCAUCCCCAAGGGACAAACAUGAACCCCAGGAGGGUAGGAAAGGCUAACAGGUGUGACCUCGCGCCGCCCCCCACUUCGGCACAACAACUCGGUCAGCACGAAGAGUAGAUGUCGAAAAUCACGACGGAUAUUUUCAAAAGACGUGGGAGAAGAUCUUCAAGUCCAGCGCAGAUUUAUCACAGUUCACCACCACCAUUAUUAUUAUCACACAAUGCUUUGUAAAUUUUAAUUAAGAUUUAAUUUUAAGUAACUCCAUGCUUGACAAGGAGGAUUGCUGAAGAGCUUUAAAUAAAUUUUAGUUAUUCUUA